GGGNUAAUUGUGGUUUUGGGUCAAAUAUAGCCUACGAUGCAAGUCGAACGAUGAAGCCCAGCUUGCUGGGUGGAUUAGUGGCGAACGGGUGAGUAACACGUGAGUAACCUGCCCUUAACUCUGGGAUAAGCCUGGGAAACUGGGUCUAAUACCGGAUAGGAGCGUCCACCGCAUGGUGGGUGUUGGAAAGAUUUAUCGGUUUUGGAUGGACUCGCGGCCUAUCAGCUUGUUGGUGAGGUAAUGGCUCACCAAGGCGACGACGGGUAGCCGGCCUGAGAGGGUGACCGGCCACACUGGGACUGAGACACGGCCCAGACUCCUACGGGAGGCAGCAGUGGGGAAUAUUGCACAAUGGGCGCAAGCCUGAUGCAGCGACGCCGCGUGAGGGAUGACGGCCUUCGGGUUGUAAACCUCUUUCAGUAGGGAAGAAGCGAAAGUGACGGUACCUGCAGAAGAAGCACCGGCUAACUACGUGCCAGCAGCCGCGGUAAUACGUAGGGUGCGAGCGUUAUCCGGAAUUAUUGGGCGUAAAGAGCUCGUAGGCGGUUUGUCGCGUCUGUCGUGAAAGUCCGGGGCUUAACCCCGGAUCUGCGGUGGGUACGGGCAGACUAGAGUGCAGUAGGGGAGACUGGAAUUCCUGGUGUAGCGGUGGAAUGCGCAGAUAUCAGGAGGAACACCGAUGGCCGAAGGCAGGUCUCUGGGCCGUUACCUACGGCUGAGGAGCGAAAGCAUUGGGGGCCGAACGGAUUUAGAUCCCUUGGAGUCCCUGGCCUAAACGGUGGGCAACUAGUUUGGGGACCCAUUCAACGGUUUCCGCGCCCGCAGUUACGCCAUUAGUUGCCCCGCCUUGGGAAUUCCGCCGCCAAGGUUAAAAUCCAAAGAAAUUGACGGGGGCCCGCCCCAAGGGCCGGACCUUGGGGAUAAUUCCGAGCCAACGGGAAGACCUUUACCAGGCCUUGCCAGGUUUUGAUUCCCGGAAGGGAUCGGGUUUCCCUUUUGGGCCGGGUUCCCAGUUGGGCCAGGGUGUUGUUCAGUUGGGUUCGUGAAAUGUGGGGUUAAUUCCGCCACGGAGGCCACCCUUGGUUCCAGUUUGCCACCAGGUGGGGGGGGGAAUUCAGGGGGGCCUCCGGGGUUCAAUUGGAAGGAAGGGGGGGAGGCGGUCAAUUCUUCAUCCCCCUUAUUUCUGGGGUUUCAGCCAUGUUCCAUUGCCGGGUCAAAGGGGUUGGGAUCUUGGGAGGGGAAGUAAUUCCCAAAAACCGGUUCCCAUUUGGAAUGGGGUUUUCCACUUGGCCCCCAGAAAUUGGGAGUGGUUGGUAUUGCCAGUUCACCACCCCUCCGUGGAAUAGUUUCCCGGCCUUGGUCCCCCCCCCCGGCCAAUCCAGGAAAUUGGGAACCCCCGGAAGCCGGGCCCUACCCCUGGGGGGGAGCCGUCUAUAUAUGAU
rnacentral:rRNA from 1 species